rnacentral:rRNA from 1 species
GAUGAACGCUGGCGGCGUGCCUAAUACAUGCAAGUCGAGCGAACAGAUGAGAAGCUUGCUUCUCUGAUGUUAGCGGCGGACGGGUGAGUAACACGUGGGUAACCUACCUAUAAGACUGGGAUAACUCUGGGAAACCGGGGCUAAUACCGGAUAAUAUUUUGAACCGCAUGGUUCGAUAGUGAAAGACGGUUUCGGCUAUCACUUAUAGAUGGACCCGGGCCGUAUUAGCUAGUUGGUAAGGUAACGGCUUACCAAGGCGACGAUACGUAGCCGACCUGAGAGGGUGAUCGGCCACACUGGAACUGAGACACGGUCCAGACUCCUACGGGAGGCAGCAGUAGGGAAUCUUCCGCAAUGGGCGAAAGCCUGACGGAGCAACGCCGCGUGAGUGAUGAAGGUCUUCGGAUCGUAAAACUCUGUUGUUAGGGAAGAACAAAUUUGUUAGUAACUGAACAAGUCUUGACGGUACCUAACCAGAAAGCCACGGCUAACUACGUGCCAGCCGCCGCCGUAA